CAUCACAAGGCACAUAAGAGAGAGAGAGAGAGAGAGAGAGAGAGAGAGAGAGAGGGAGGAAGAAGGAGAUGGAGUGUGUUCAAUACUGUUGGGCAUGAGUGCUUCUUACGAUCGCCGUCUUCGGAGGCCUCUCUCUUAUCACCCCAAACCAACAUAGCCUCACCUCUGUCGCACGCCGGUCGAGCCUCCGGCAACCAUCCAUACCAACACCAGUGGAGCUCUAAUAAGUCUAUUGGUUUUCAAGGGUUUUCUGAUCAAGGGUUUGUGGCAAUGUAAUAAGAAGCAAGGUUCUGGAGAGAUACAUGCAGUCAAUGUCAGGGAAAUGAUAUUCAUAAUGAUCUAUGUCUCUUUCGAUAUGAUUAUCGGCGCCUAUCUACUUGAUAACAUGGCAGCAUUGAUUGUGAAAGGAUCAAAAAUAGAAAGGUUUAGGGACAAAAUGGCAGAUUUUAUUAAAUAUAUGAAUGCACACAAACUUGGAAAGCCUUUAAGUAAUGAGAUCAAAGGCCAUGUGAGGCUACAAUAUGAGAACAGAUACACACAAGCUACUGUUCUUCAUGAUAUUCCAAUCUCCAUUCGAGCUAAGUUUGCUUUGUCACUCAAAAAAGAAUCGUACGUUGUAGAUUGUUUUGCCCCAUGAACUGUUUCUUCUACGCAUAUUUCACAA